AUUGCUUUAACAGUAUUUGUAAUUAUAUUAUUCARCAUUAUUAAAUACUUAAAAAAUAAAUUUCGGGAAAUUAAUAUGGUGAAAAGUUGUCCAGGCCCUAAAGCUUAUCCUUUGAUCGGAAAUUUAURUAUGUUUCUUGGUGAUUUGAAAGAUAUAACUUAUAAAUUAACGAAGUCAUCUGUAACAUAUUCUUCACCUUGGCGACUUUGGAUAGGCCCAAAAUUAAUCUUAAUAUUUGAUGAUCCUGAAAAUAUUAAGAUUAUAUCAAACAAUCMGUAUGAUUUUAAAARAAGUAAACACUA